rnacentral:rRNA from 1 species
UACGUGGGGGGUAAGCGUUGUUCGGAAUUACUGGGCGUAAAGGGCUCGUAGGCGGCCAACUAAGUCAGACGUGAAAUCCCUCGGCUUAACCGGGGAACUGCGUCUGAUACUGGAUGGCUUGAGUUCGGGAGAGGGAUGCGGAAUUCCAGGUGUAGCGGUGAAAUGCGUAGAUAUCUGGAGGAACACCGGUGGCGAAGGCGGCAUCCUGGACCGACACUGACACUGAGGAGCGAAAGCCAGGGGAGCAAACGGG